CCAUAUAAAACCCUUUGCUGGGGAAAGGCCCCAGAGAUGGGGAUGUGGUUAAUCUGGUGCACGGCAGCCCUGUGCUUCUUGAGAGCAAGACAUACAGAUGCUAAAAUCACCCAAACACCAAGCCUGGUACUGAAGAGAGGACAGACAGCCCAGCUGACAUGCACACAAACUGAUAAUCAUAACUAUAUGUACUGGUAUCAGCAGCAGCAGGGGAAGGGGCUGCAGCUGAUCUAUUACUCUCUUGGUAAAGACAACAAGGAAGACGGCGACAGUGACAUUAAAAAUGAUUUCACAGCCUAUCGACCAAAGAUCGAAGUCUUUGGCUUGAACAUCACCUCUGUGAAGAUGGAGCACUCGGCUGUGUAUUUCUGUGCCAGCAGUUUAGACACAGCACUUCAGAGUCACCUCAUCCCUCUACAAAAACCUCCCCCCUCCAAGAGAGCUUCUCCUCCCAUGUCUAUGUAAGAGAGAGAUCAGGCUGCUCUCAUGCAGACAGGAACAGCUUAUUAUGCAUAGAAAUACCAGCAAAGUGCUUCUGAGGUGAGCAGGGAAUCAAAGGCAGAGCAGCUCUCUUAAGUAUGGGUUAUUUCCCAAACCAUAUACAUCCUCUGGUGUUCACCUGGCUAGUCCCAUCUUCAAGAUGUCACAGCUGCAACCAUGCAGUUCCUAUCAUGCAGGCAUGAGACAGGGCAAAUAGAAAUCCUAACUUUGUGUUCCAAAAAAAACAAUGCUCUCCUUAGGGCUGUUCUCAUAGCCAACAGAGCAGAGGUAUCGAAACUUUUCUUAUUGUGUACCACCUCCUUACACACAGAGCAGAUUAAUGUUUGUGGGGCCCUGGGCCACAGAAAGUGGGAGUCCCUCCCAUCCCUUCCACCUUCAGUCCCUCCCUGUCUCCCCAGUGCUUCUGUCGGGGAGCAGGGUUCGGGGCUUGCCCUGCUCUGUCCACUCUGCACUCCUAUAGGGAGCAGAGGAGCCCCUGCACCCUGAUCCUGUGUUAUUCUUAACACUACCUGUCUUUAGCCAUCUGUCUCUAUUUCACUGUUAUGUACAGAUAUAGUGCAAUGCACACAACCAGAAAAAAACCAACAACCCAGCUCAGACAAUUGCUGGACAACUGAACCUGUACUGUAUGGUGAUUGGAGGUGAGGGCACUGUACAUCAGUGUCUCUGUGUAUCUGUUCUAUCAUUGGUACAUCUUGAAGUAAAUUAAUUACCAUAUUUUAUAUAACGAAUUCCCACAGAGUUUUAAAGCUUCAUCUGAGUAGCCUAUUAUGAAAAUGCA